rnacentral:rRNA from 1 species
UACGAAGGGGACUAGCGUUGUUCGGAUUUACUGGGCGUAAAGCGCGCGUAGGCGGAUCGCUAAGUCAGGGGUGAAAUCCCAGGGCUCAACCCUGGAACUGCCUUUGAUACUGACGAUCUGGAGAUCGGGAGAGGUUGGUGGAAUUCCGAGUGUAGAGGUGAAAUUCGUAGAUAUUCGGAGGAACACCAGAAGCGAAGGCGGCCAACUGGCCCGAUACUGACGCUGAGGCGCGAAAGCGUGGGGAGCAAACAGGAUUGAGAU